GAGCCUACGGGACGCAGCAGUGGGGAAUAUUGCACAAUGGGGGAAACCCUGAUGCAGCAACGCGGCGUGAAGGAAAACGGUUUUCGGAUUGUAAACUUCUAUCAAUAGGGAAGAAAGAAAUGACGGUACCUAAAUAAGAAGCCCCGGCUAACUACGUGCCAGCAGCCGCGGCAAUACGUAGGGGGCAAGCGUUAUCCGGAAUUACUGGGUGUAAAGGGUGAGUAGGCGGCAAGGUAAGCGAUAUGUGAAAGCCUUAAGCUUAACUAAAGGAUUGCAUAACGAACUAUCUAGCUAGAGUACAGGAG
rnacentral:rRNA from 1 species